rnacentral:rRNA from 1 species
AUUAGAUACCCUGGUAGUCCACGCAGUAAACGAUGAAUACUAAUUGUCCUGGCAGAAUGGUGCCUGGGUGAUACAGCGAAAGCGUUAAGUAUUCCACCUGGGGAGUACGCCGGCAACGGUGAAACUCAAAGGAAUUGACGGGGGCCCGCACAAGCGGAGGAACAUGUGGUUUAAUUCGAUGAUACGCGAGGAACCUUACCCGGGCUCAAACGACACAGGAAUACUUUUGAAAGGAGGUAGCCAGCAAUGGUCUGUGUCGAGGUGCUGCAUGGUUGUCGUCAGCUCGUGCCGUGAGGUGUCGGCUUAAGUGCCAUAACGAGCGCAACCCCUACCGCCAGCUGCCAACAGGUAAAGCUGGGGACUCUGGCGGGACUGCCGGCGCAAGCUGCGAGGAAGGCGGGGAUGACGUCAAAUCAGCACGGCCCUUACGUCCGGGGCGACACACGUGUUACAAUGGCAGGUACAGCGGGAAGCCACCUGGCGACAGGGCGCGGAACCCGAAAACCUGUCUCAGUUCGGAUUGGAGUCUGCAACCCGACUCCAUGAGGCUGGAUUCGCUAGUAAUCGCGCAUCAGCCACGGCGCGGUGAAUACGUUCCCGGGGCUUGUACACACCGCCCGUCAAGCCAUGGAAGCCGGGAGUGCCUGAAGUGCGUGACCGCAAGGAGCGUCCUAAGG